UGUUAGAUUAUUUAUUUCUAUUAUUAAAAUUUGACAUGACUGAUAGCAUAAUUAAAUGGUGACAUGUGACGUGUCAUGUGUAUCUCAUGAUUAUGUAUAAAGACCGAUUUUUAAUAGUAAAAAUUGAUAAAAUUUUUAAUA
rfam:Gossypium hirsutum cultivar TM-1 unplaced genomic scaffold scaffold171.1, whole genome shotgun sequence